UGAUGGCAUUUCCUUUAUCGUUUCCUGAUGACGUUUACAGUAAUUCGUGAAGAAUUGCCACGUUAUGAAUUAAUCUAAACAAGAUGACAAGAAAACAAAGGAAAAGCAGUUUAUGAGCUGUUGGUUACUUCAUUAGUCAUAAGUCUAAUUUGUAAUUUGAAGUUUUAGAUGAGAAUUAAAAAAAAACAAAAAUAAGCAUGUUUAAUCUAGCAAUCUUCUACAAGUGAAUUACUUAACUGCUUGACUAACAAGUAAGUGAUGCUGUCAUUGUUGCAUAAUUCUGCUUAACAAUUUGAUCAAUUUAAGAUUGUAAAUGUCACGUACAAUAACACUAGCUAUUGCAAAGAAGAAUAAUAUUACCUUCUCAAAUAUCCGAAUUUAAAAAUUCCGUUUUCAAUAUAAAAGUAUCGAAUUUUAAUUAAAGCUUACGUAAACAAAUUACAAGUUUUUAUGCUUUAUAAAAUUAACUUAAAUAUAUUUUCAACAUUUAUAACAAGAAAAGUAAUCUUCAUGUACAAAGUGAUAUAACUACUUGUUCAAAUUAAAGUAGGAAUAAAUUCUCAGAUACUUCUUUAGGUAUUUAAUAUUUAUGACUGUUUUGACAAAUACAGGAAAGUCAACUUAAGUAAGGUCAGUCAGCGAUUAUAAUAGAUUCCGAAGCAUGUGAUAGGUGCCAGAAAUCUUAUACAAGAACAGAAUAAUGAAUGUAAAAUGUGUCUAAAGAAUUUUAUAUCAUCUCUUUAGAAAAUUAUUCUGAAGUUUGAUAUUAAAUAUAUUUAAAUUUUUGAAUGUAAUCAAUCAUGAAAAAUUAUCUUCUUUAAGAGUAUUUUAUGAUUUUACCAAAAAAAUUUGCAAUUUUAUAAAUAUGAUUAGUAAUUUGUUCACAGUUGGAAUGGUUUCAAAAUCAACUAAAUUCUGCUAUUUCACGUUGAUAAAACUAUUAUUAGCACAUCCCACUAAACCAAAUAAAAAUUCUUAGCUUUAUUUAAUCUUUUUUAUUGAUGUUUUUAUAUAAUUUCAAACACAG